rnacentral:rRNA from 1 species
AUGGAAGGGCUCCUGCAUUGGGAUUUCAACCCUGGCCUGGCAGUGGCCGAUCAGGUACGUCGUCGGUUUGGAGAGACGGUGCACUUCUCUCCUUCGCGCAAGACCAAGGAAUUUUUCUUGGUUGUAUCCUUUUCUUCAGCUUCAUUCCCCCUCAAUGAGGAAUCUGUGGGGGUGGCCUUACAGUGCUGCAUUGGUGGUCAUCAUCUUGGGUUUAAGGUCUCUAAGAUUUUUGAGAGGUCCUUUCGUUUUUCUAUGGCCGGGAACAAGGUUGGGCAUUUAUUCAUGGCCUCAAGGACCGUAUCUGGCCUGAUUUCAUCUGUCAUUUCCACCUGUUCAAUGGCCGUUUCAAUGGUUUCAAGCACUUGGACUCUUAUUGGCAUGCGGAUGAGAGACUAG